UAUAGGAAACACAGGAGGAAGCUUAAUGCUGUCAGUUAUAAAGCCCUUUUCCCACUGUGGCCAUUGUGAUUGAUGACAACAGGACUAAAAUAGCAGAACAAGUUCUUUAGAAACACAUGCCAUAUUGCACUUGGACACCACUGGGAUGCUUAAACAAGUUUUUAACUGCAAAGUGUUUCUCAAAAAGAGUUCAGUGAAUUCAGCGCUCACCAAAACGAACUCGCCAACCCGUUUCUGAAGAAAAAGCCCGUCCAACUGACCCAGCCAGAAGUACAUCAUGAUUACCUCCAAGAGCUCAAGCAUAUCUCAAAGGUUUUCCUACACAACUGAAAUGAGGGCUAAUAUUUCAAAGGACCAGGCGAUUUCAACUUGUGCUUCAAUCUAAAAGAACAGCCAGGCUAGUAUUUGCACAUGAAUAAUAGAUGGGCCCUUUAAGAAGACCUAGAGCACUCCAACAUACUUUCAGUCUUACAGAUGAAAAGAAUCCUGUUGACUUGGAAACCACAGGGACACACUGUAGAAAGCCUACACAGUACAGUACAGGGGAUGGGAUUCUGCCCAGUAAUCCCCUGACCUCUUUUCCUUCAUUUGCAUUUCAUAUUAUUCUGUGCUAUUGCCGUCUGCUCCAUCAUUGCAUUUUAAAUCACAAAAGAGUGACUGUAUUUCUUUUUUCUUUUAUGCUUGGUCACAGUUUUUGCCCAAUUUUCCUUUUUGUUCCUCUCCUCUUUGUGACCGUGUCUCUGGUAAAAGCACAAAACAAAUGAAAUGUGAUUGAAAUUGAACAAUGCCACUGAAUGGUGUUCGUGUUUGAGGGGACCAGACAAGCUAAAGUCUGCUAAUACGAGCAGGCUCACCAUUGCUAAUAUCAAAAAGGAUCAAGGUUCUGCUUGCUUUAAUUCCCUCCAUGGACAAAUUUCCUCUGCACAUCAAAUAUUUACCAGGAUUUCCUGGUGACAUUUAAGAUUCAUCAGGUGUCGGCUUGCAAAAGCUGUCAAAAGUUUAACUUGUACUUACUGAUAAAUUCAUUCUAUGUGUUCUCAGAGAAAGUACCCCUGAAAUAAUUCCUGAGACUAACAGUGAUGUUUACAUCUGUAAGUGAGACAUGACAAACUUGUUUUUUUUCAUGGCCAGUUGAGUUCUCAAAGCUUGCCAACUACAAAAGGAUAUGAUGUGGCAUGUUGCGCCAUUUCCCUGUUAUUGCUCCUGCAUGAUUUGCAUUUGUCAUGAAUUAGUGUGACAGAUGGGUAAUCUCUGAGUCUCUAAUUCCCAGAAAUCCAUAUUUGUAUGCUUCUGCAGCCUGGCUUUUUUGUUUUGUGUUAAUGAAUAUUGUGCACAUGGCGGUAUAAAAUGAAAAUGGAAGACAGUCAUAUCCUAUAUCAUGACUUUGGAUGAGAUGCAAAAUGGCACCUAGUGCUGGUGCCAAGACUGGAGUGCGACUGCAGGGUACAGCGUGCCAUCUUGCCACAGUUGGAAACAUGAAGGCUCUAGGAUAAGGUCUUGUAGCUGCAAUAAAACAUUUCUACAAUGUUCAACUACUGGGAUUCCAUUAUAGGGUGGAAAUUUGAUGGCAAGAGGAUAAACAUUUCCAUCAAAUGUGAAAAAGAAUCUGUAAUCAUGGUAUACUUUGGAUACUGCCCAAAGUAAUGACAACAAUCUCUGUCCUGUUAUAACCAUUCCUGAGACCUUUAAAUACAUUCAUAAGUAUCAUGUCAUUAAAAUAUUUUCAGAGUAGAAUACAAGGUUAUUGAGAUUAA